AACGCACAUUGCGCCCUUUGGUAUUCCGAAGGGCAUGCCUGUUCGAGCGUCAUUAUCACCCCUCAAGCCCGGCUUGUUGUUGGACGCGACGAUGCAAAUCGUCCUUCACAAAGAUAAUGACGGCGUUGUAAGGACUCCUGUACACUGAGCUUUCGGGCACGUACUAGGCUAGACACUUGCAGCGCCGGUCACCGUCUCUCUUGAGACAAUAUACCAAGGUUGACCUCGGAUCAGGUAGGAAUACCCGCUGAACUUAA
rnacentral:misc_RNA from 1 species